ensembl:snoRNA
CAGCAUCCUCUGAUAGAAAUGGGACAAUUGACUGUUGUUCUCUGGUUUGCACUAGGAUGCGAAAGAAUACAAAGUUCCUGCCCUUUCUGUCUUUGUGGCGGGUCCAGGUUGAAUGAGGGAUUACAUAG